AGCACUGGAGUGAAACACCAGCCAGAAAGGGAAAGCUUUAAGCAGCCAAUUUAUCUUCGUUUCUGCGCAUAUACACCACUGAAAACUGAUGGCUUCAGAGACCCAAUUUUUUUUAAAAAAAGGUCUUUUAUACUAAACACAGAGUAUUCUCAAGAAAACAAAGAAUCGCCAAGAACCAGAGAGAUCGUGUGAACCUGUGAACAGAGGAAAUGUGGCCCCAGAGCCACACGGGCCCCAAGAGUUGUCAAGAGUUGUCAAGAAACGCUACAUUAUUGCCAGAGCUAGUGCCGCAAUGAAUCAUGGAACUUAAAGAAGGUGGGGAACACAAGACUCUAAGUUUCGUUUUCCUCUCAUGAGAAAUGACACCCAGAGGUGCCUGUAAGACUGUAACAUCUUGGUAAAAGAGAUAACGUGUAUCCCCUCUGAUUGUUGCUAUUUCUCUCUGUCUUGCUUCACUAUACACAUCCUGUACAUUGUAGCUAAUUCAGCACAAAGCGAGAAGUAUUCUCAAAAUACCUUAUUAGAAUUGUAUCUAUAAGAUUUACGUCACACUGCUGAGUGGAUAACUUUCACAGGCAUAC